UUUAUGGAGAGUUUGAUCCUGGCUCAGGAUGAACGCUGGCGGCGUGCUUAACACAUGCAAGUCGAACGAUGAAGCCCAGCUUGCUGGGUGGAUUAGUGGCGAACGGGUGAGUAACACGUGAGUAACCUGCCCCCGACUCUGGGAUAAGCCCGGGAAACUGGGUCUAAUACCGGAUAUUACCUCUUGCCGCAUGGCAGGUGGUGGAAAGAUUUAUCGGUGGGGGAUGGACUCGCGGCCUAUCAGCUUGUUGGUGAGGUAAUGGCUCACCAAGGCGACGACGGGUAGCCGGCCUGAGAGGGUGACCGGCCACACUGGGACUGAGACACGGCCCAGACUCCUACGGGAGGCAGCAGUGGGGAAUAUUGCACAAUGGGCGAAAGCCUGAUGCAGCGACGCCGCGUGAGGGAUGACGGCCUUCGGGUUGUAAACCUCUUUCAGUAGGGAAGAAGCGAAAGUGACGGUACCUGCAGAAGAAGCGCCGGCUAACUACGUGCCAGCAGCCGCGGUAAUACGUAGGGCGCAAGCGUUAUCCGGAUUUAUUGGGCGUAAAGAGCUCGUAGGCGGUUUGUCGCGUCUGCCGUGAAAGUCCGAGGCUCAACCUCGGAUCUGCGGUGGGUACGGGCAGACUAGAGUGAUGUAGGGGAGACUGGAAUUCCUGGUGUAGCGGUGAAAUGCGCAGAUAUCAGGAGGAACACCGAUGGCGAAGGCAGGUCUCUGGGCAUUUACUGACGCUGAGGAGCGAAAGCAUGGGGAGCGAACAGGAUUAGAUACCCUGGUAGUCCAUGCCGUAAACGUUGGGCACUAGGUGUGGGGGACAUUCCACGUUUUCCGCGCCGUAGCUAACGCAUUAAGUGCCCCGCCUGGGGAGUACGGCCGCAAGGCUAAAACUCAAAGGAAUUGACGGGGGCCCGCACAAGCGGCGGAGCAUGCGGAUUAAUUCGAUGCAACGCGAAGAACCUUACCAAGGCUUGACAUGUGCCAGACCGCUUCAGAGAUGGAGUUUCCCUUCGGGGCUGGUUCACAGGUGGUGCAUGGUUGUCGUCAGCUCGUGUCGUGAGAUGUUGGGUUAAGUCCCGCAACGAGCGCAACCCUCGUUCCAUGUUGCCAGCACGUAGUGGUGGGGACUCAUGGGAGACUGCCGGGGUCAACUCGGAGGAAGGUGGGGAUGACGUCAAAUCAUCAUGCCCCUUAUGUCUUGGGCUUCACGCAUGCUACAAUGGCCGGUACAAUGGGUUGCGAUACUGUGAGGUGGAGCUAAUCCCUAAAAGCCGGUCUCAGUUCGGAUUGGGGUCUGCAACUCGACCCCAUGAAGUCGGAGUCGCUAGUAAUCGCAGAUCAGCAACGCUGCGGUGAAUACGUUCCCGGGCCUUGUACACACCGCCCGUCAAGUCACGAAAGUUGGUAACACCCGAAGCCGAUGGCCUAACCACCUUGUGUGGGGGGAGUCGUCGAAGGUGGGACUGGCGAUUGGGACUAAGUCGUAACAAGGUAGCCGUACCGGAAGGUGCGGCUGGAUCACCUCCUUUCUAAGGA
rnacentral:rRNA from 1 species